rnacentral:siRNA from 1 species
UAGCACAUAUUGCAGCAGCACCGC